rnacentral:rRNA from 1 species
GACGAACGCUGGCGGCGUGCUUAACACAUGCAAGUCGAACGGUAAGCGCCUUCCUUUUUGGUGGGUGUGGAUGAGUGGCGAACGGGUGAGUAACACGUGAGUAACCUGCCCCCUUCUUCUGGAUAACCGCAUGAAAGUGUGGCUAAUACGGGAUAUUCUGGGUCUGUCGCAUGAUGGGUCUGGGAAAGAUAUUGUUUCGGUGGGGGAUGGGCUCGCGGCCUAUCAGCUUGUUGGUGGGGUGAUGGCCUACCAAGGCGGUGACGGGUAGCCGGCCUGAGAGGGUGGACGGUCACACUGGGACUGAGACACGGCCCAGACUCCUACGGGAGGCAGCAGUGGGGAAUAUUGCACAAUGGGCGCAAGCCUGAUGCAGCGACGCCGCGUGAGGGAUGGAGGCCUUCGGGUUGUGAACCUCUUUCGCCAGUGAAGCAGGCCUGCCUCGUUUGUGGGUGGGUUGACGGUAGCUGGAGAAGAAGCGCCGGCUAACUACGUG